AUGUCAAAUCAUCAUGCCCCUUAUGACCUGGGCUACACACGUACUACAAUGGUCGUUACAGCGAGGAGCGAUACCGCGAGGAGGAGCAAAUCUCAAAAAGCGACCCCAGUUCAGAUUGCAGGCUGCAACUCGCCUGCAUGAAGUCGGAAUUGCUAGUAAUGGCAGGUCAGCAUACUGCCGUGAAUACGUUCCCGGGCCUU
rnacentral:rRNA from 1 species